rnacentral:rRNA from 1 species
AGAGUUUGAUCAUGGCUCAGGAUGAACGCUAGCGGGAGGCUUAACACAUGCAAGUCGAGGGGCAGCAUAGAGUAGCAAUACUUUGAUGGCGACCGGCGCACGGGUGAGUAACGCGUAUGUAACCUACCUUGUACAGGGGGAUAGCCCGGAGAAAUUCGGAUUAAUACCCCAUAAUGAUAUUGAGAGGCAUCUUUUAAUAUUUAAAGUUUCGACGGUACGGGAUGGGCAUGCGUGACAUUAGCUAGUUGGUAGGGUAACGGCCUACCAAGGCUUCGAUGUCUAGGGGUCCUGAGAGGGUGAUCCCCCACACUGGUACUGAGACACGGACCAGACUCCUACGGGAGGCAGCAGUGAGGAAUAUUGGUCAAUGGGCGUAAGCCUGAACCAGCCAUCCCGCGUGAAGGAAGAAGGCGCUAUGCGUCGUAAACUUCUUUUCCGGAGGAAUAAAAUUUCGUACGAGUACGGAACUGAAGGUACUCCGGGAAUAAGCAUCGGCUAACUCCGUGCCAGCAGCCGCGGUAAUACGGAGGAUGCGAGCGUUAUCCGGAUUUAUUGGGUUUAAAGGGUGCGUAGGCGGAUUAAUAAGUCAGUGGUGAAAACCUUCAGCUUAACUGGAGAACUGCCAUUGAUACUGUUAGUCUUGAGUACGGUCAAGGUAGGCGGAAUGUGUAAUGUAGCGGUGAAAUGCUUAGAUAUUACACAGAACACCGAUUGCGAAGGC